rnacentral:lncRNA from 1 species
GUUUUGAAAGGCUUGAGAACAAGUCUAAUUUGCAGAUACAAGAGGGGGAAAGCAAGAAGCUCAGACUGGGCGUAGAAGAUUAGAGAAUACAGUAAAGGUCAAGACCUGGAGAAUUGAGUAUGUGAACUGUUGAAGAUAGGACCCAUGGUGUGCAGAAGACUGAGCUGGGUUGCCCUGAUACAAAUGCAGAAGGUCACAUCUGUGGGCUGCUUAGAGGACAGUUAUAAAAUCCAAGAUUUAUGGAAAAGGCAUUUGCAAGGCAAUAGGAUGGUGAUCUUUGGUAGACAUCUUAAGACCUGAUUGAUUUACACAUUCACUUUAACAGAAGAAAAAUAGGUAUCUGGAACACACAGUUCUGAGCAAGAGAGUUAUAUAGCUGCCACAAACUUGCAAUUCACUUUCAAGGUAAAUAUUUUUGUAGUAUCGGGCUUUAUGAAUUUUAGGAAACUUAACAGUUUUCCAAAACUGCCUCACUUUUUCUUUGAUAGUUUUCUAAAUUGGUCUAUUUUGAAGUAUUGAAUAAAAUGUAAAAUGAAUCUUUUAAAUUACCUCCA